rnacentral:rRNA from 1 species
AACGAACGCUGGCGGCGUGGAUAAGACAUGCAAGUCGGACGAGAUUUUUCGUUGUAGCAAUAUGAUGGGAAGUUUAGUGGCGAACGGGUGCUUAACACGUGGGCAACCUGCCAGGAAAUGGGGGACAGCUCGCCGAAAGGCGAAUUAAUACCGCAUGUGAUUGGAGAGGACAUCCUUUCGAAAUUAAAGUCGGGGCAACCUGACGCUUCUUGUGGGGCCCGCGGCCUAUCAGCUAGUUGGUGGGGUAACGGCUCACCAAGGCUUUGACGGGUAGCUGGUCUGAGAGGACGACCAGCCACACUGGGACUGAGACACGGCCCAGACACCUACGGGUGGCAGCAGUCGAGAAUUUUUGACAAUGGGGGAAACCCUGAUCGAGCGACGCCGCGUGGAGGAUGAAGGUCUUCGGAUUGUAAACUCCUGUCAUUGGGGAACAAUGCGUGACGGUUAACUGCCGUCGCGUUGAUAGUACCCGAAGAGGAAGAGACGGCUAACCCUGUGCCAGCAGCCGCAGUAAGAC